UCCCUGGUAGUUCAGUUGGUAAAGAAUCUGCCUGUAAUGCAGGAGACCCUGGUUUGAUUCCUGGGUUGGGAA
rnacentral:tRNA from 1 species